rnacentral:rRNA from 1 species
GACGAACGCUGGCGGCGUGCCUAAUACAUGCAAGUCGAGCGAGACUCUUCGGAGUCUAGCGGCGGACGGGUGAGUAACACGUGGGCAACCUGCCUGUAAGACUGGGAUAACACCGGGAAACCGGUGCUAAUACCGGAUAAUCCUUUUCCUCUCAUGAGGAAAAGCUGAAAGUCGGUUUCGGCUGACACUUACAGGUGGGCCCGCGGCGCAUUAGCUAGUUGGUGAGGUAACGGUUCACCAAGGCGACGAUGCGUAGCCGACCUGAGAGGGUGAUCGGCCACACUGGGACUGAGACACGGCCCAGACUCCUACGGGAGGUAGCAGUAGGGAAUCUUCCACAAUGGACGAAAGUCUGAUGGAGCAACGCCGCGUGAGCGAUGAAGGCCUUCGGGUCGUAAAGCUCUGUUGUUAGGGAAGAACAAGUACCGGAGUAACUGCCGGUACCUUGACGGUACCUAACCAGAAAGCCACGGCUAACUACGUGCCAGCCGCCGCCGUAACAC